AUUGAACGCUGGCGGCAGGCCUAACACAUGCAAGUCGAACGAGUGGCGGACGGGUGAGUAAUGUCUGGGAAACUGCCUGAUGGAGGGGGAUAACUACUGGAAACGGUAGCUAAUACCGCAUACCAUCGGAUGUGCCCAGAUGGGAUUAGCUAGUAGGUGGGGUAAAGGCUAACCUGGGCGACGAUCCCUAGCUGGUCUGUGAGGAUGACCGUCAACACUGGAACUUGGAAACGGUCCAGAUUCCUACGGGAGGAAGCAGUGGGGAAUAUUGCACAAUGGGCGCAAGCCUGAUGCAGCCAUGCCGCUUGUAUGAAGAAGGCCUCCGGGUUGUAAAGUACUUUCAGCGGGGAGGCGUUACCCGCAGAAGAAGCACCGGCUAACUCCGUGCCAGCAGCCGCGGUAAUAC
rnacentral:rRNA from 1 species